GUUAUUUUCUUUUAUAGAAACCUUUGCCUCCAAACUCACCUAACAUUCUAGAAGUUUACGAUGGGUUCAAAAAUUCGUUUCAAGCAGUGAAACGUCCACUUCCGAGUUUGCCGAGUAAUGCACUGAUGGGUAGGCCGGCAAAGCGAGCAAAGAAAGAUAG